GCAUCCAUGGUUGAACGUUUAAAGCGCCCAACUUAUAAUUGGUGAAUUCAUAGGUUCAAUUCCUACCGGAUGCA
rnacentral:tRNA from 1 species